UACGGGGGGGGCAAGCGUUGUUCGGAAUUACUGGGCGUAAAGGGUCUGUAGGUGGCUCGCUAAGUCAGACGUGAAAUCCCACAGCUUAACUGGGGAACUGCGUCUGAGACUGGCGAGCUCGAGUGCAGGAGAGGAACGCGGAAUUCCAGGUGUAGCGGUGAAAUGCGUAGAUAUCUGGAGGAACACCGGUGGCGAAGGCGGCGUUCUGGACUGCAACUGACACUGAUAGACGGAAGCCAGGGGAGGAAACGGG
rnacentral:rRNA from 1 species